rnacentral:rRNA from 1 species
AUUGAACGCUGGCGGAAUGCUUUACACAUGCAAGUCGAACGGCAGCACGGACUUCGGUCUGGUGGCGAGUGGCGAACAGGUGAGUAACAUAUCGGAACGUAUCCAAUAAUGGGGGAUAACUAAUCGAAAGGUUGGCUAAUACCGCAUACGCCCUACGGGGGAAAGCAGGGGAUCUUCGGACCUUGCGUUAAUGGAGCGGCUGAUAUCUGAUUAGCUAGUUGGUGAGGUAAAGGCUCACCAAGGCGACGAUCAGUAGCUGGUCUGAGAGGACGACCAGCCACACUGGAACUGAGACGCGGUCCAGACUCCUACGGGAGGCAGCAGUGGGGAAUUUUGGACAAUGGGCGCAAGCCUGAUCCAGCCAUUCCGCGUGAGUGAAGAAGGCCUUCGGGUUGUAAAGCUCUUUCGCAAGGGAAGAAAACUUACUUUCAAAAAAGAGUGAGGUUGACGGUACCUUGAUAAGAAGCACCGGCUAACUACGUGCCAGCCGCCGCCGUAA